UAGGGAAUCUUCCGCAAUGGGCGAAAGCCUGACGGAGCAACGCUGCGUGAGUGAUGAAGGUCUUCGGAUCGUAAAACUCUGUUAUUAGGGAAGAACAAAUGUGUAAGUAACUAUGCACGUCUUGACGGUACCUAAUCAGAAAGCCACGGCUAACUACGUGCCAGCAGCCGCGGUAAUACGUAGGUGGCAAGCGUUAUCCGGAAUUAUUGGGCGUAAAGCGCGCGUAGGCGGUUUUUUAAGUCUGAUGUGAAAGCCCACGGCUCAACCGUGGAGGGUCAUUGGAAACUGGAAAACUUGAGUGCAGAAGAGGAAAGUGGAAUUCCAUGUGUAGCGGUGAAAUGCGCAGAGAUAUGGGGGAACACCAGUGGCGAAGGCGACUUUCUGGUCUGUAACUGACGCUGAUGUGCGAAAGCGUGGGGAUCAAACAGG
rnacentral:rRNA from 1 species